GGGGGAGGAGGAAGAGGAGACACGGAGACGCCCUUUCCGUUCUGCCCCGGAGAGAGACCGUGUAAGCCUCAGAGACCCAAAGUGGGCGUUUUCCCCUGGACGGAUGCAUGCUGGGGACACGAGGAGGCAGCCUUACUACAAAACUAAGGACUGAAGAUGGUGAUUUAUCUCCUGCUAGGAAGCAGGGCAGGAUGGCUGUGAGUCCGGCAUCCCAGAGCAGUGCCGGGAAGGCAAUGCAGCUGGUCCUGCAGUGGGAUCCCUUUUCACAAGGAUGGAGCCGGCGUGAUCCCAUGUAACCCGCUGCGAUUCCCGCGCUCAGGUCGAUGUUCUUCAGAUCCCAGGGCCAAUGCCCGGCCCUCAGCUGCCACUGUGCCCUGCCGCUGCCCGCAGCCGCCGUGCCGCUUUCAGGACAGCCCCCCAGCCUGCAUCUCCACUCCCAUCAGGCGUGCCAGGACGUUAGAUGGAGCUUUGCCACACGGUUCACGUUGGCCCGAAUGUCGACUGGCAGAAAGGAACCCUUCCGCUGAAGCCUUUAACGCUCUCCCGGUAGGACGUAGCUGAGUUUCCAGGGUUUCGCUUUUCUUUUACGCCACGGAGACUGGGGGCUCACACAAGGCCCCGGAUCCAAAAAAGGAAUCCUCCGUCCAUCGCCAGCAAGGCAGAGACAUUCGGCAGGAAUCUAGCCGCUUUUUGGAGGGGAGAAAAAUCAAAAUGCGAGGCGAGGGGCUCGAUAAAAACAUGCUUCUCCCAGGACCAUGCAGGAGCAUGGAGACGACAUUGCUAGACGUCAAUGCAUGCUCUUCCCUAGGGAGAACCAUUCUUCAGAGCCCAGGGACAGCUGCGCCAUGCUCUCCAGAAAGGAGGAAAAAAUGGAGCGGGUCCUUUUCCUUCCCUGUCCCUCAGCAACCUUCCCCCGAGAGGCAGGGGCCAGGGCUGCAACCGGACACUCUCCACCCUUUUAGGGAAGGCAGCAAGUAGGGUUGCCAGGUGUCCAGUUUUGAACCGGACAGUCCAGUAUUGGAGCUUUCUGUUGGGGAAACAAAUAGAGAAAAUAUGAGAAAAUAGAACAGUCGGGUAUUUUCUCAAUCCGAUGCAACGUAGAUUGUGAUGGAAUGUCAAGCGCGUCCGGUAUUUUUGUUGAAACAUCUGGCAGCCCUAGCAAGUAAAACCCACCGGGGCGGGGGGAUGGGUUCUCCGAAACAUCUGGGCAUCUGUUACAAAAGGAUCCAGGUCCUGGCUGAGCUGGGGAAGGCCCAGGAACCGCACAGGGAGGCGGGCGGUGGGCCGGGCGAUCCCCACAGUGGCCCGCAGAUGGCGCCAUUGCGCAAGCCAGCCCUGCCUUGGAGAACACUGUGAACACAGGAGGGGAGGGAGGAAAAAAAAAUCAGCUGUUAAAAAAACCCACCAAUGUUUUAGGGGGAAAGCAGCAAACUGGCAUCUCCCGCCUCCUGUGCUGCUUUGUCUGGCGCGAGCUGCUGCGUGCGAUGGACUUUCUCUCCUCGCAGCUCUGCCCAGGACUGCCGGGGGAAGAGGAGAGCGGGAUCUCUUGCGUUUCAGGCAAUGCAACCGACCUGAUCCCUGCGGUGGGUUUUUCUUGUUGGGUCCAUUUUUAAAACAUUUCAAUGAGGCUCAACUUUCUGCGACUUGUUGCUUCGCCAGGGGGAACCCAGGCAGGGCCCAGCCUGGGACGGUAACAGCUGCGGCCCCGGGCGCUGCCUGCACCAUGACAUCUCCCAGGCCAGAGGGCCCGGGGUGUUAGUGACCGGUGGCCAUGGCUCUCCGGCAGCCGGACUCUCCUGGUGAACAGUAGCCCUGGGCGGCACUCCCAUGCUUGGCUCUACGUUGCCUGGCCGGGCACGCUCGCCACUCUGCAGAUGCCUUUCUCGGCUGAAGAGAGGAGCCUUCAGGGGGUCUACAAGCCGACCUCUCCGCAGCAGGAUGGCAGAGCCCUGGCGGCCAGCGGGGGACCCGUGUGCGCUGAGUGCUACACUAACCAGACCUUCGUCUUCGAUGACGGCAGCUCCCACAGCUUCAAUCCAGCCAUCUCCCUGCUCCCAAGACUUCAAGCUGCACGGUUUCCCCGCGUCUGUUGUGAGCACCGCGCUGCUGGGGAGUAAACAGACA